rnacentral:ncRNA from 1 species
GGUGCCUCACGCCGCCGUGCGUGAGGUGAAACGGGAAGCCGGUGCGUCGCCCUUGGCGAUCAGUCCGGCGCUGCCCCCGCAACGGUAAGCGAGCGGGGCAUCCACGAGGCCACUGUGCUCUGGCAUGGGAAGGCGGAUGCUCCAGAACCCUCGCAAGCCCGGAGACCGGCCUGGAGCGU